UACGAAGGGGGCUAGCGUUGCUCGGAAUCACUGGGCGUAAAGGGUGCGUAGGCGGGUCUUUAAGUCAGGGGUGAAAUCCUGGAGCUCAACUCCAGAACUGCCUUUGAUACUGAAGAUCUUGAGUUCGGGAGAGGUGAGUGGAACUGCGAGUGUAGAGUUGAAAUUCGUAGAUAUUCGCAAGAACACCAGUGGCGAAGGCGGCUCACUGGCCCGAUACUGACGCUGAGGCACGAAAGCGUGGGGAGCAAACAGGG
rnacentral:rRNA from 1 species